rnacentral:rRNA from 1 species
GAUGAACGCUGGCGGCGUGCCUAAUACAUGCAAGUCGAGCGAACGGACGAGAAGCUUGCUUCUCUGAUGUUAGCGGCGGACGGGUGAGUAACACGUGGAUAACCUACCUAUAAGACUGGGAUAACUUCGGGAAACCGGAGCUAAUACCGGAUGAUAUUUUUAACCGCAUGGUUCAAAAGUGAAAGACGGUCUUGCUGUCACUUAUAGAUGGAUCCGCGCUGCAUUAGCUAGUUGGUAAGGUAACGGCUUACCAAGGCAACGAUGCAUAGCCGACCUGAGAGGGUGAUCGGCAACACUGGAACGGAGACCCGGUCCAGACUCCUACGGGAGGCAGCAGUAGGGAAUCUUCAGCAAUGAGCGAAAGCCUGACGGAGCAACGCCGCGUGAGUGAUGAAGUUCUUCGGAUCGUAAAACUCUGUUAUUGGGGAAGAACAUAUGUGUAAGUAACUGUGCACAUCUUGACGGUACCUAAUCAGAAAGCCACGGCUAACUACGUG